GACGAACGCUGGCGGCGUGCUUAACACAUGCAAGUCGAACGGUAAGGCCCUGCUUUUGUGGUGUGCUCGAGUGGAGAAGGGGAGUGUCACACGUGUGUAACCUGCCCAUCACUUUGGUAAACCUUCAGGACACUGUGGAUUAUACCGGAUAAGCGUUCCCGCUGCAUGGGGUGUGGUGGAAAGUUUUGGCGGUUGGGGAUGGACUCGCGGCUUAUCAGCUUGUUGGUGGGGUUGUGGCUUACCAAGGCUUUGACGGGUAGCCGGCCUGAGAGGGUGACCGGCCACACUGGGACUGAGAUACGGCCCAGACUCCUACGGGAGGCAGCAGUGGGGAAUAUUGCACAAUGGGCGGAAGCCUGAUGCAGCAACGCCGCGUGCGGGAUGACGGCCUUCGGGUUGUAAACCGCUUUCACCAGUGAAGAAGCGAGAGUGACGGUAAUGGGAAAAGAAGCACCGGCUAACUACGUG
rnacentral:rRNA from 1 species